rfam:Gemella haemolysans ATCC 10379 ctg1119035638556, whole genome shotgun sequence.
UCUGGUGGCGAUAGCGAAGAGGACACACCUGUACCCAUACCGAACACAGAAGUUAAGCUCUUUAGCGUCGAAUGUAGUUGGGCUUACGCCCUGUGAGACUAGAACGUUGCCAGGC